CAUAAACGUGUAUAUAUAUACUUUAUAAAUAAGUUUACCAAGAUACAAUUCACAUACACGUUUUUAUGUCAUCAAAGUGUGUAUGUUUUCAAUGGCAUUAAUGUUUGUUACACUAAACAUACACACAUAUACACGUUUGUAUGUUAUUGAAUAUCUCAUAGCUAAUCAUCAAGAAAAUUAUGCAACAUAAUGAAUAGUUUUCAG
rnacentral:lncRNA from 1 species